UACGUAGGAGGCGAGCGUUGUCCGGAUUUACUGGGCGUAAAGCGCGCGCAGGCGGCCCUUCAAGUAAGGUGUGAAAUCUCCCUGCUCAACGGGGAGGGUGCACUUUAGACUGAGGAGCUAGAGGACGGUAGAGGGGGGUGGAAUUGCUGGUGUAGCGGUGAAAUGCGUAGAUAUCGGAAGGAACAUCAGUGGCGAAAGCGGCUUCCUGGACCAGUACCGACGUUCAGGCACGAAAGCGUGGGGAGCAAACAGG
rnacentral:rRNA from 1 species